rnacentral:rRNA from 1 species
AACGCUGGCGGCGUGCCUAACACAUGCAAGUCGAGCGAUUCUCUUCGGAGAAGAGCGGCGGACGGGUGAGUAACGCGUGGGUAACCUGCCUCAUACACAUGGAUAACAUACCGAAAGGUAUGCUAAUACAGGAUAAUAUAAGAGAUUCACAUGGAUUUCUUAUCAAAGCUCCGGCGGUAUGAGAUGGACCCGCGUCUGAUUAGCUAGUUGGUAAGGUAACGGCUUACCAAGGCGACGAUCAGUAGCCGACCUGAGAGGGUGAUCGGCCACAUUGGAACUGAGACACGGUCCAAACUCCUACGGGAGGCAGCAGUGGGGAAUAUUGCACAAUGGGCGAAAGCCUGAUGCCAGCAACGCCGCGUGAGUGAUGAAGGCCUUCGGGUCGUAAAACUCUGUCCUCAAGGAAGAUAAUGACGGUACUUGAGGAGGAAGCCCCGGCUAACUACGUGCCAGCCGCAGC